GUUCUUUCCCAGGCCCACUGCGGGAGACUGAAACCUUUCCUAAAGAAAAUCAAUCGAGGACACAAACAGAUCUUCAGCUGAUAGAAGCCGGCACAGUUAACCAGUGGGAGAGGUUGCUGACACGAAUUCUCGGUUGUUUUAAGUCUCAAGUGCAUGUGUUCCUCGUAAAGAAGCGCGGGUUGGUGCUGUGAAGAAACCCGCGUGACGUGCGGUCUGUCUCAGGCGGUAGGUGCUUCUGAGGAUGAGGACUGCUCGUGAUGCCGCAGCACGAACGGGAUCUCAGGAAGGCACGGGAACGCGACAAAUGGCCUCAGGUCCCCCGGGAACAGACGAGCAGCUCGACCGGCUGCAGGCCCAGCUGGACUUAUUGCAGAGGUGCCUGACGACCCUCGAAUCCCACGCGGAGCUCAACCGCCAGCAGUCAGGGAAGAAGGCACAAGGAGCAAGGAAGAGGAGUUGCUCCCCACCCCGCUCCAGCUCCAGCUCCGCUGUGGAUUCCGUGGGUGGACAACAGGAAAGCAGGGCAAGUGAGUAGGGCUCCCAGCAGCAAAAGGGGCAGGUGGAUCAAAGUGCGGGAAUCAUAACUUCACGGAAGCAUUUUCGUCCAUCUGACAGUCCGUUCUUUUCAGGAUGACUGCCAGCUGCUGGAGCAGGACAUGCCUCCGCCCACCAAAGCUUCCUGGGGUGAAGGCAUCUCCAGUGACUACAGUCUUCUACCGCCUGGCUGCCAAGAGCUCCUUGAUCAUCACCUUGCUGCAGGGGGCUACGGACACUGGCCCAGCCUGCACAACGGCCGGCGGAGACUGUCCCACUAGUUUCAAGUGUUUGUUUUUCUCUUUUUUCUAUGUUUCAGUAAUUCUCUUUUUUGCAUGUUUCAAUAAAAAUUAAAAGAUAUAUUGCUAGUGCGUGUGU
rnacentral:lncRNA from 1 species